rnacentral:rRNA from 1 species
AUUAAACUCCCAAACCCAAUGUGAACGUUACCAAACUGUUGCCUCGGCGGGAUCUCUGCCCCGGGUGCGUCGCAGCCCCGGACCAAGGCGCCCGCCGGAGGACCAACCAAAACUCUUAUUGUAUACCCCCUCGCGGGUUUUUUUAUAAUCUGAGCCUUCUCGGCGCCUCUCGUAGGCGUUUCGAAAAUGAAUCAAAACUUUCAACAACGGAUCUCUUGGUUCUGGCAUCGAUGAAGAACGCAGCGAAAUGCGAUAAGUAAUGUGAAUUGCAGAAUUCAGUGAAUCAUCGAAUCUUUGAACGCACAUUGCGCCCGCCAGUAUUCUGGCGGGCAUGCCUGUCCGAGCGUCAUUUCAACCCUCGAACCCCUCCGGGGGGUCGGCGUUGGGGAUCGGCCCUCCCUUAGCGGGUGGCCGUCUCCGAAAUACAGUGGCGGUCUCGCCGCAGCCUCUCCUGCGCAGUAGUUUGCACACUCGCAUCGGGAGCGCGGCGCGUCCACAGCCGUUAAACACCCAACUUCUGAAAUGUUGACCUCGGAUCAGGUAGGAAUACCCGCUGAACUUAAGCAUAUCA